UACGUAGGGUGCAGGCGUUAAUCGGAAUUACUGGGCGUAAAGCGUGCGCAGGCGGUCUGCUAAGACAGGUGUGAAAUCCCCGGGCUUAACCUGGGAAUUGCGCUUGUAACUGGCAGGCUAGAGUGUGGCAGAGGGGGGUGGAAUUCCACGUGUAGCAGUGAAAUGCGUAGAUAUGUGGAGGAACACCGAUGGCGAAGGCAGCCCCCUGGGUUAACACUGACGCUCAGGCACGAAAGCGUGGGGAGCAAACAGGAUUAGAUACCCUGGUAGUCCACGCCCUAAACUAUGUCAACUAGUUGUCGGGGAAGAAAUUCCUUGGUAACGAAGCUAACGCGUGAAGUUGACCGCCUGGGGAGUACGGCCGCAAGGUUA
rnacentral:rRNA from 1 species